rnacentral:tRNA from 1 species
GGACGAGGGGCCAGGAAUUCGGCACCGUCACCGGUCGCCCGCGCCGAUGCGGCUGGUUCGAUGCCGCCCUCGUCCGCCA